UACGGAGGAUGCAAGCGUUAUCCGGAAUGAUUGGGCGUAAAGCGUCCGCAGGUGGCUGUGUAAGUCUGCUGUUAAAGAGUCUAGCUCAACUAGAUAAAAGCAGUGGAAACUACACGGCUAGAGUACGUUCGGGGCAGAGGGAAUUCCUGGUGUAGCGGUGAAAUGCGUAGAGAUCAGGAAGAACACCAGUGGCGAAGGCGCUCUGCUAGGCCGACACUGACACUGAGAGACGAAAGCUAGGGGAGCGAAUGGG
rnacentral:rRNA from 1 species